UCAGUCCUACAUUAGGUCCCUAUCGAUACCGAUGCAUAGCGAAUGUAUUGGCAUGAUACUUAUUGAUACUUGAUUCCUUUGUUAAAUAGGUAGUUCUUAAAUUUGAAUCACCCAAAUGGUAAGUGACCUCCCAGAUGGGACAACACUUGGAUGAACAGGUAGCCAGAACAAGAAUUCGAUUUCAAGUUACCAUUGAAUGGUAAAAAGUUAUAUGAUCAUGCAUGAUUUCUGACUUUUGAAUUUUGGUCCAAAGAUCUAGUCCCACAAUUAUUGUUUAAUCGAUGGAACACGUUCUAGGUGAAUGGGUUAUGUCUAACAAUGUCUACCGACUGAUUUUUAUUAUGUAGGACUAGGAAUGGUCUAAACCCUAAUUGUACUAGUAAAUUUUCAUCAUCACUUUCAAGCAAUAAACUCAAAACACUAACUGAAAGUAGUUCUUAGUUAAGCUAAAAAGAAAAGCAAGUACAUCGAUGAAAAAUUAGCCAGUCUUCUUGCAAAACUUAACUAAAGUUUGUUGGAAGCUCCAAAACUGGAAAAAUUUAAGAGGCAGCUUGAUAGAUGAAGAAACUGGUAAAAUUUGAACUAAACCCCCCCCCCCCCCCGGGGGGUGUGGUGGUUCAAACAACCAUGUCAACUUGACUGGUCAUAGCAGGUCCUUUCUGAAAACUAGCAAACUUCAAAUUUUGUGAAAAAUCAUCUGUAUCCGACAACUCUAGCUAGAGUUUAGAUUGGGCCUGCUAUAACCAGUCAACUUGACGGGAUUGUUUGGCUUCUUUCCUGGGGUCCAAUUGAGCUGAAAUUUUAGAAAGGUUUUCAUCAACUUUUUUUGUUAAAAAUCUAUUAAGCUUUAUUCUUCCUGACCAAAUUUGCAAGGCCAAGUAGACUGGCUCUUUUUUUACAUGAAUUUGGGUUUUGACUUGGCAUUUGAGUUUUUCAUUCAAAGUUAAGGGUCCAUUUGGGUUCAUUACUUGCCGGUUUUAUUUGUAAUAACCUUCCUACAUCAAUUUGUGUCGGAGUUGAAAGAUCUAAUUCUAGUCCUUUUGAUGGAUACAAUCCAAGUUGUUCAGGGUUUGAACAAAACUUGAAGAAGUCUCUUUAUGAAAUGUUCAGUAAUUUUUAUGUGUACCAAAACAGAAAUUCAAAGUAGGUUUCUACAUGUUGAUCAAUCUCUGGAAAAUAUGGAAAAGCUAUUAUUGAAUUUUAUGCAAAAAAAGACCAUCAAGAAGAUGUAGAAGUAGAACAACCACUACUGCUGAAUUGAUGGAGUCUGCAAUAAUGCUUCUAAGAGAACAUUUGGCAGUGUGCAGCAGCUUCCAUGAGAACUGAAUUUCGUAGUCAAAACCGUGAUCUAAUUAAAAUCCCCUUAUAAUAACACUUGUUUGUGGCUAUGCUAAAUAUUGUAACAUAUUGGUACUUUCUUAGAAUUGGAGGUGUGAGACUGUGAUUAAUUACUGGUGAUUAUUGCCCUUGUGCUGCAGAUCCAGAUGAUCCACUGAAGACAACUGAUCAGACCCGGACUCUUGGCCUAAUAGUUUGUAGGGGGACUGCAGUGAUGCUUGUAUCCCCAACUGAUGGUACUGAAGAGAUUGCAAAUCCCUUUAUCCAGCCAGAUGGUGCAUAGGGCUCAUCUUACAAUCAUGCACUUAAUUUGCACCUAACUAAGCUAUAGGUAUGCUUUAUGUAGUCUUUUUUCCUGUUGGUUUUGGAUGUUACUUCGUUCACGAGGGAGCUCUGGAAGACUUUGGAUUUGGUCUUUUGUGGAUACAACUCUACCACCUCUGAAAUGUAACUGUAGUAGUAUUCUAAUGUCACUAAAAGUACUGGUGUUGUCACUUCUCUGAUAUUGCAUAGGAUGGUAUGGUUAUUUCUCUUAAAUGGAAUACAAAUUCAGUAUUUUCGAAGAA